AUGGAAUAAGGUGGCUCGACGUAUGUGAGAGGCAUUCUUGACAUAUGACCAGAUCAUUGAGGAAUAUAUACUCCUGCUGAAGCACAUAAAAGAAGUUAAAAUGGGUGGGGUACAAGUUCAUAUAUUCUGAAGGCAAUGGGGCUGAUUGACUAAAGAGCCGAAAAAAGAUCGAUAUAUUAAAUUAUCGGUUAUCUAAUUAUUGAGCAUGAUGUUCUUCCAUCAAUCAAGGAGAGAAUCCAUGUUUUAAGCCUGGCUUUGGUAGGUUGACACCAACUAUAUGCUCACCAAACACUCAAAUCUGUUCUGGCUCAAAUGGUUGCAGGUCACUACUAAUCAUCCUCUCUGUAUGACAACCCAAACCAGUUCAUUUCUACAUUAAAUUAUUAGACCAAAAUAACAAACACAUUGUGAUGCCAAUCUUUGUUCAUGUU